AUACAAACUAUGAUGAAAUAAUAGUUCAGAUGAACUGCUGUGAUAUGUAUUCCUAUGUCUUUCGCUCCUAACUGAUGCUGUGU